rnacentral:rRNA from 1 species
UGCGUAGGCGGGCUAAUAAGUCAGUGGUGAAAUCUCUCGGCUCAACCGGGAAACUGCCACUGAUACUGUUAGUCUUGAGUUCGGUUGAGGUAGGCGGAAUGUGUAAUGUAGCGGUGAAAUGCUUAGAUAUUACACAGAACACCAAUUGCGUAGGCAGCUUACUAGACCGACACUGACGCUGAGGCACGAAAGCGUGGGGAGCGAACAGGAUUAGAUACCCUGGUAGUCC